UACGGAGGAUCCGAGCGUUAUCCGGAUUUAUUGGGUUUAAAGGGUGCGUAGGUGGAUUGGUAAGUCAGUGGUGAAAGUUUGCAGCUUAACUGUAAAAUUGCCGUUGAAACUGCCGGUCUUGAGUGCAAAUGAGGUAGGCGGAAUGCGUCGUGUAGCGGUGAAAUGCUUAGAUAUGACGCAGAACUCCGAUUGCGAAGGCAGCUUACUGGGAUGCAACUGACGCUGAGGCACGAAAGCGUGGGUAUCAAACAGGGGUUAGAUACCCCGGUA
rnacentral:rRNA from 1 species